GACGAACGCUGGCGGCGUGCUUAACACAUGCAAGUCGAACGGGAAGGCCCUGCUUUUGUGGGGUGCUCGAGUGGCGAACGGGUGAGUAGCACGUGAGUAACCUGCCCUUGACUUUGGGAUAACUUCAGGAAACUGGGGCUAAUACCGGAUAGGAGCUCCUGCUGCAUGGUGGGGGUUGGAAAGUUUCGGCGGUUGGGGAUGGACUCGCGGCUUAUCAGCUUGUUGGUGGGGUAGUGGCUUACCAAGGCUUUGACGGGUAGCCGGCCUGAGAGGGUGACCGGCCACAUUGGGACUGAGAUACGGCCCAGACUCCUACGGGAGGCAGCAGUGGGGAAUAUUGCACAAUGGGCGGAAGCCUGAUGCAGCAACGCCGCGUGCGGGAUGACGGCCUUCGGGUUGUAAACCGCUUUCGCCUGUGACGAAGCGUGAGUGACGGUAAUGGGUAAAGAAGCACCGGCUAACUACGUG
rnacentral:rRNA from 1 species